UGGACAACAAGCUUGUCCAUGAAAGCAGGAGCGAUGUAGAAGCCUCCCAUGGUGUUGUCGAAGUCGUACUUCCGCAGGCCCUGGCUGACGUACUCGUAGGAGCUGAGGACGGCCUCGUGGGUGCCGUCGCCCGUGGGCGCCUGGAAGAGCGAGUCCACGAUGCCCUUCCCUCUGGUGAUGUCCUGCUGGUCGUCGGAGAUAUCGUACGCAAGACCCUUCCACUUGUCGGUGUUCCUCUUCUCGUCGAUGUUCUCCGCUGCCAUGACUGUGAACCUGUUGGCCUUGGAGCUCUUGCCAUGGUAGUUCACGGCCGAGGUCACCUGCUUCUUGAGCUUCUUCCCGAGGAAGUUGGUCGGCGUAGAAGCCUGUAUACAUUACAUUACAUUACAUAUACACACAUGAGAUGCCGCUGAAGACACUGAUAGGAUAUCAUCACUAAGCAAGAGAUGCAAUCAAUCAAUCGAUCGAUCAGUGUGUGGUACGCACCGGAGCCCCGACGGUGGAGGAGAAGGCAGCAGCCAUCUCUGUGCUGCUUGGUCGACCUUGCUAGCAACGGUGGAUGCGCGCGGCUGUGCUGGUGAUCAGUGAUGAAUGACUGCUGCUGCUCAAAGUAUAGAGGCCGAGCUAUGUGACGCCUUAAAUACACGUGGAUUGGCAUAUUGCUGCUCUGCUGUGGGGAGCUUGGAGGAGGAGGCGGCAUACACACACCCCUGCUUGUGGAUCAGCCUCCCGAUCCCCCAGAGGCCACACGCUGGAGAUUGGGUUCUGAGCGUCUUGGCCGGCCGGUUGGAUGACUUGGACCGUCAAGACCAAACGCUGCAGCUGCAGCUGCAGAUACGUCUGCUGGCCAUCAAUUCCAUGGCCUUCCACGGCCACAGAAUCUAACCAUUCAUGCUCAAAUCAUCUCCCAUUUCUUCCGUGCCUUUCAUUUUUUCCUUUCACUCGGUCGCCCGUAUAUACUAUCUUGUUUAUUAGCCAAGCCAUGUCAUUGCAUAACCACAAAAAAAGGGUCUCUCGUUGCUUGUUGGAUGAGGCACCCAAGAUUGUAUUCUAGUUCCAAGUACCACAAAUUUGUUGCUGCCAUACAUAUACUGGUUUGUUGAUAACCAUCAAGCUAGGGAUGUCAUUUGGCACCACACAAAUCAAGUCCUGGUUGACAUCAAGCACAUGGGUUUGUACUUUUGUCUACUCCAAUAAAUAUUGCCACUUCGGUAAAAAAAAAUGAAGCGUAUUAAGAGAAAAGGUAGCCAUGCAGUUUUGCUUUGAUGAAAAGAUUAUAGAACGUGUCUAAUGUUUUCAUGUAAAUGUAAUUCGUGUUGCCUAGCUCAAGUUCCCUGCUGGUAUUCUCAUUGUUUGGGUCUAGUACAGACCAUUAAUUGAUCAUUACGAUGAAUGCGAGCCGUUUGGCUCGCACAAUCUUUGUCCAAUACACCUUCUAGUGAUGUUGUCCUUGUUAAUCAACUUUGUGGUGCAAAUUGGGGUUUCCGUAAUCCGUCAAAGGGAAAAUAUGUAUGUAUGUGAUGAGUCAUGACCCCCCACAUCCACAGUACUCGUACCUAAUCAACAAGCUUCAGAUGAUUUCCACAUAUGUGCUAAUCUUCCGACAAGUGCUAAUAUCAAGAGAUAUAUAGGUUGUUGGGACUUGGGACCCUAGCUUGCAUCCAUUGGAGAAAUGAUUAAGCGGAAAAUGACGAUUUAAGAACAUAUACAAUUCCUUUCUCUUUCAAGAAGAGACUUACAAUUGGGUUACCUGUGCGGCGAUGAAUCAAAAAGUUUGAGUGGAUUUCGGGUCCAAAAUAGUCCAACAUAUAUAUAGUGCAUGCAUGCAUCUUAAGUAGAGUAGGACCUUCUACUUGCCGUAGAAGGCACCGGUCUUCAUGGCGUCGUCGUUGGCUUGGCCGAGCGCCGCCUCGCUGAGGUACUUGUCGGCGAGCUGCACACGCUUGACGUUCUCCUGCUCCUGGACCAGCAUGUGGCCGUACUCCAUGAGCUUCUCUAUGGUCAUCUUGGGCUGGUCGAACGUGGGCGGCCCCUCCCUGGAGUUGACGAGGCGCUUGGAGAUGUUCUCCACGCCGAUCUCGCCGACCCACUUGCGCACCUCGUCGUCGUACACCCGUGCCCGCAGCGCGCCGAAGAAGUCGAUGGACUGCCCCGGGAAGGUGUCCACCAGCCUCACCACGGCCUCGUCCGGGACGUUGUCGGUGCGGAAGAUGCCCUUGCACACGCCGAUGCGGUCCUCGCGGGUGGGCGCCCAGUAGAACUUCUCCAUGCGCCCGUCACGGAUCAGGGGAGCGUACAGCGUCGAGAAGUCGUUGCCGGUGACGAUGAUGGGCACGCGGGGGUUCUCCUCCUUGUUGUACAUCCCCGGGAGCUGCACGUUGGUGGGCGCGUCCGCGAUGUUCAUCAGGGUGGCGUUCACCAUCUGGUUGUUCACCGUGUACUGCGUCGUCCCGCCCAUCCGGCCCGCGCCGGCGUCCAGGUCGUUGAUGAAGAGGCAGCACAUCUUGCCCUUGUUGAUAAUGUCGGCCGCCUCGCGGUACCUCUGCCGGAUCAGCUUGGCCGGCUCGCCGGCGUUGCCGCUCUCCAGCUCACCGGCGCUCAUCAUGAUGGGGUUGAUGCCCAUCUUGGCGAACACCAGCUCACACUGGAACGACUUGCCCUGUCCCUUGCCUCCCCAGAUACCCAGGAUGAGAGGAACCUUGAUGUUGGGGAGUGUCAUGAAGUUCUUGGCGAGGUGGACGAUGAGCUUGUCCAUGAAUGCCGGCGCGAUGUACAGCCCGUCCAUGGUGUUGUCGAAGUCGUACUUCCGCAGGCCCUGGCUGAUGUACUCGUAGGAGCUUAGGAUGGCCUCGUGGGUGCCGUCGCCCAUGGGGGCCUGGAACAGGGAGUCCACGAUGCCUUUCCCCCGAGUGAUGUCCUGCUGGUC
rnacentral:lncRNA from 1 species